AGAAUAACCAAGCAGAUCUAGAGAAUGCCACAGAGGUGCUCUCGGGUUACCUCGAACGAGAUAUUUCCCAAGACUCUCUGCAGGAUAUAAAGCAGAAAGUACAAGAUAAGUACAGAUACUGUGAGAGUCGACGAAGGGUUUUGUUACAGCAUGUGCAUGAAGGCUAUGAAAAAGAUCUGUGGGAGUACAUUGAGGACUGAGAAUGGCCCUGCAUAAAAUGAACUCUGAAAACUUUA